AUGCUCUCUUUGGCAGCAAAUAUACUAAAAUUGGGAUGAUACUGAGAUUAGCAUGGCCCUUGCACAAGAAUAACACCCAAGUUCAUAAAGUGUUCCAUAACAAA
ensembl:snRNA U6 U6 spliceosomal RNA